UUGUUCCCACCUGCUGUGGCCAGAGGCGUGUCCUAGAGAAUCUAGGUCAAGAGGCGUGGCCACUCUCUCCUGCUCUGUUUCCAGCUCAGCUGCAGCUCAUCUCCACUAAUCACCUAGCAGUUAUCUACCCGGGCUGUUCACCUCUUCAGCGCCAGUUUGUUAACAACCAUUCCAGUGAUUCUGUCUCUGGACCUGCUGCUACCCUGCUGAUACCUGCCUUCCUGCUGCCUGCUCGCCUCACCACUCAGCUCUCAUCGCAACCUGCCUCUUCACCCAGCUCUCAUCACCGCUCACCCUCCGUCGAGUCUCAGCCUGCCUGGCCACACACCUGUCUGCCGACCUCCAGCUUCAGUCCCCACCUGGAGCUACUACUUGGACUAUUCCUCUCUGUUUAUUUCCAAGUUUGAGCUAAUAAACACUUUUGCUAUGUUUA